rnacentral:tmRNA from 1 species
GGGGGUGAUCGGCUUAGACACAUGGAUUUCGCGUUGUAGCAUGCACGUCGAGCAUGUUCGUACACUCGUUAAACGUCGAACAACCACAAGUGCAAACGCACGUGGCGUAGUGUCGCCUUACAGCGGCCUCGCCUUCGCUCGCGCCUAACUGCGAGCUGCUCUUUUAAUGCAUUCUCGUAUGCAUUAGUUGAGUACAAUACCCUUACGAGAUAGGUAACCGCACUGACCGCGCGUGUUACUAAAACAAAGGUCUGCUACAUAACAGGGUUUCGCUUUUCUUUUAACCUGUUAUGUCUAAGACCAUAAGAGAAGCCAAACGUGUAGAAGUGCUACAGCUCGCCAUGAUGGACGCGGGUUCGAUUCCCGCCAUCUCCACAA